CAAACCAUAUGACAGCAAUUUGCAAGGAUAUGUUGCCUUCGCUCCUGAAAAUUCUGUUCUUGGAUUGAGUUCUUUGUGAAGCUGUAGCUAGCAUUUUCUCUCGGUGAAAUGGAUCCACCUGGGCCUGGAGGACCGGGAGGAGGCCCUGGCGGUUGGGGCCCUCCUGGAGGUGGCCCUGGGGGAUGGGGCCCUCCUGGAGGUGGCCCUGGAGGAUGGGCCCCACUACCUCCUGCUGGACCUGGCUUUCUGGGUGGCCCAGGCCCUGGCCCUGGUUACUGGGGGCCUGGAUUUGGAGGUUUCAUGGGGUCCUGUUUUUAUGUCCUCUGCUGCUGCUGCUUGCUCCAGGAUUGUUGUGGGCCAUUGCUGGGGCGUCCAGGCCCGGGUGGCCCAUCGUCACCCUUCUGAUACCACCCUGACCUUACCCACCUAGUGAAAUAAUGCGAUGUGUUUACCAUUACACAUGGGACCAAAAUCGUUACACAUCCUCUGAUGAAGAACAAGUACCUGAUAGCAGCUUGCAGAGUCUUAUAUAUGCUCUUUACUUUGUCACUUAUCUCUAGGGGUGUUAUGCAUAAUCCUACUUGUUUGCAUUUGUUAGCAACUCGACGAUAUAAUGAUGGUUCUGCUUUGGUACCUCGUUGAUGCCUUACAAAUGUCAAAUCAAAUACAACCUGACAGUUUUCAAACUGACACCAGCCCAGGUGAAAAGGAAAACAACGAAGAAAACUGCACCGAUUCUAAGAAAGAACCGAAUCCAACACACUAUAAAAACCCCAGUGAGGGGAGAGAAAAGAAAUCCCGGGUUAGUCUACUGAGCCAGCAGCAUCUCUUGGACGGUUCUGUACAGAUGUAAAAGCUGUUCUAUGCACGCAGGCAAUUGGUACCUUUGUUAUAUGCAAAA